AUCCUGAGGUCUUUUGGUUCAUGAGCAUCAGGGCUGGGUAUUCAUGCCGCUGUGUGAGAUGUGUCCCCCUCAGACAUCGGUAGGACGUCAGGACAUGACCUGUUUGGUG
rnacentral:snoRNA from 1 species